UGACAACACAAACACACACACACGGCAAUGGAAUGGAGUUGGCAGAUUUCUACAACUUUGAUCAGCUGACUUUGGGAGCAAAUUGCGAACAGCUCAGAAUGAAUUAGAGAAUGAGCCUUAUAUGCUUGGAAAGCUACAGAUGUCUAUUUUCUAGAACAUUUCGCGGAUUGUUAAUAUCAUUUGUCUAGAAGAAGUUAUAGGCAUUUGAGUAAGGGAAGGUCUAGCUGACGACAACUUGCAGAUUGGAAUUGAAAGCAAACAAAAGAAAAGAAAUAAAACAAGGGGAGUGAAUGGACAGCAGAAAAGCAAGGAAAUUGGACCACUAUGAAGUGGAUUUCUUGUUGGUCUCCCACUUAUAGCUUUGGGUGGCUUUGGCAUGAUUAUUUCUAGGUGGAAAGAGCACAAAGACAGCACACACACACAAGGCAAAAAGCUGGCAGCAUCUUCCUUUUUUUCCCUUGUCCAUUACCUUGCAAUUGCUUGACAUUUCCAACCUCUAUAUAAGCACCAUUCAGCCUUCAAGGAUGACACACAGCCAUUCAUACACAUUUCCAUUAGUUCCAAGGCUUGCAAAGAAGGAGGAGUGCUUGGAGUUGUGCUAGCCAUUCCAUUGGAGUUGUUGGAGCAUUCUAGGUACUAAUGCAUGACGCGGAGUUCUCAAACUGUGCAUAUCUUGGACUUUAACAACGAUUUUGAACGUGAUUUGAGAAGAAAGAGGAGGCAUCCCGAACCUAGUGAACCUAGUUCAAGUUCAGAGGCCGAAUCUGAGUUUGAAGAAGAGAAAGAAGAAGUUAUGGCAGCGGACAAUCGGACCAUUAAAGAGCUUUCGGCCUCGGGGUUGACCAAUGCCGCACCAUUAUGCAUUCAAUACCCCGCGGCUGCCCAAGGCAAGACCGAUGAAUUCGAGUUGAAGUCAAGCUUGUUGCACCACAUUCCGAAAUACCAUGGGCUUUCCAUGGAAGAGCCAAA